GAGGGGAGGUGAGUUCUCCUAGCUUUUGAGUAUUCCCUCCGCCUGCCCCCUCUGCCUCCACGCAGGAAGAGCCAACAUGCCCUGGAGGCCUAAAGAGUAAUUUUAAUGGAAACUACCUGAAGCUCUGUUAGGGUUUCAGGCGUGUUUUCUUUUCUUCCGUGUCUUCUUUUCUUCCUCGUCAUUAUUUCUCCAUUUUACUUUUAUAAUCAGAACAUAUCUAAGUAAUUUAAGUAAUUUUUUAGGAAGCUUAGUGGACUAUUUUGCAAUAACCUCUCCAGAUCUCAGCACAAUUCACUCUACACUGCCUGCAGGAAGGGGAAAAAAAAAAAAGCAAAGUGAAGUUAUCGGCUAAGCAUCAGAGGCACACAUGUUAAUACACACAGGAGGAAAAACACCCUUGCUCCUCCCAUCCGUGGUCACUCCGGCCACUUUAGAGCCCCUUCCAGAACUCCAGCCUCCUUCCCAGGGUUCAACUUGGCCAUCUGUUCACCCAGACCUACCCCUUCUGGAGCUGAGCAAUUUCAGAGUGAGCUGCAGAUUAAGCAAAGCAAACUCUUCUACAAUCACUUAAUCCUCAUGCUACUUGCUAUUAUUGAUUUGUUGUUGCUGUUCAGUCGCUCAGUCAUGUCCAACUCUUUGUGACACCAUGGACUGCAGCACACCAGGCUUUCCUGUCCUUCACCAACUCCCAGAGUAUGCUCAAACUCAUAUCUAUUGAGUCAGUGAUGCCAUUCAACCACUUCAUCCUCUAUCGUCCCCUUCUCCUCCUGCCUUCAAUCUUUCCCAGCAUCAGGGUCUUUUCCAAUGAGUCAGCUCUUCACAUUAGGUAGCCAAAGUAUUGGAGUUUCAGCAUCAGUCCUGCCAAUGAAUAUUCAGGGUUGAUUUCCUUUAGGAUUAACUGGUUUGAUCUCCUUGCAGUCCAAGGGACUCUCAAGAGUCUUCUUCAACACCACAACUCAAAAGCAUCAAUUCUUCAGCAUUCAUCCUUCUUUAUGGUCCAACUCUUACAUCCAUACAUGAGCACUGGAAAAACCAUAGCUUUGACUAUAUGGACCUUUGUCAGCAAAGUAAUGUCUCUGCUUUUUAAUACACUGUCUAGUUUUGUCAUAGCUUUUCUUCCAAGGAGCAAGCGUCUUUUAAUUUCAUGGCUGCAGUCACCAUCUGCAGUGAUUUUGAAGCCCAGGAAAAUAAAGUCUGUCACUGUUUCCAUUGUUUCCCAUCUAUUUGCCAUGAAGUGAUGGGACCAGAUGCCAUGAUCCUCAUUUUUUAAUUUUUUGACUUUUAAGCCACCUUUUUCAGUCUCCUCUUUCACCUUCACCAACAGGCUCUUUAGUUCUCUUCCCUUUCAGCCAUAAGGGUGGUGGUAUCUGCAUAUCUGAGGUUAUUGAUAUUUCUCCUUACAAUCUUGUUUCCAGCUUGUGCUUCAUCCAGUCCAGCAUUUCACAUGAUGUACUCGGCAUAGAAGUUAAAUAAGCAGGGUGACAAUAUACAGCUUUGACAUACUCCUUUCCCAAUUUUGAACCAGUCUGUUGUUCCAUGUCAAGUUCUAACUGUUGCUUCUUGAUCUGCAUAUAGAUUUCUCAGGAGGCACGUAGGUGGGCUGGUAUUCCCAUCUCCUUAAAACUAUGGGGGAAAUCCAUAGUUAUUUCCUUAAGACACAGUCUUAAGAAGUCAAAUUGCAGAGUCAAAGAGUUUCCAAAUUUCUCGGGCUUUUGAACAGUCUUGGCAGGCUCUCUGCAGAACUAUCAUACCACACAAACUCCCAGGAGUGGAGAACUCUGCCCAUUCCUCUAACACUCCUCUCCUACCCCAGCCCCUCCCUCACCCACACCCUUGCUCACCACAUGUAACAUUUCUAGUGGAAACAAGUGUAGAGUUUGGGGCACCCAGGUUUUUCAUAUUUCAUACUCAUACUCAGCUUGCUGCUGCUGCUGCUAAGUCGCUUCAGUUGUGUCCGACUCUGUGCGACCCCAUAGACGGCAGCCCACCAGGCUCCCCCGUCCCUGGGACUCUUCAGGCAAGAACACUGGAGUGGGUUACCAUUUCCUUCUCCAAUGCAUGAAAGUGAAAAGUGAAAGUGAAGUCCUCAGUCGUGUCUGACUCCUAGCGACCCCAUGGACUGCAGCCCACCAGGCUCCUCCAUCCAUGGGAUUUUCCAGGCAAGAGUUCUGGAGUGGGGUGCCAUUGCCUUCUCCGCACACUCAGCUUAGGCCAAGGCUUAAACAAGAACCAGGAUGAGAAAAUGAGUUCCCCUAAUCAAGCUUUGGGGAGGGGGGAUGCAUGAGUAAGAAUUGGUACAGAGGGAAAAAGUGAAAAAUCCAAUGAAGAGAGGAAUGGUGUUACACAAGGAUAUUGUCCAGAAGAAAGAGACCCUGAGAUGCUAAGAGAAAUAAGAGGAAGCACAGAUGGAAGCACAGAUGCUGGGAACUGACAUCAGAUGAAACUGAAGUUGAAGUGAGCCAUUUGAGGGGUGCAAAUGUCAAAAUCUCACAAAGAUUCAUGGCAGAACAGAGCAAACAACAAAGGAAUCAAGCGAGAUAGAAAAACAAAAAAUCAUUUGUGGCACCUGUGCACUUUGCUGCUGUCUGUAAUUAAUACCAACAAAACAACCAAGAGCCAGAGUCACUGUGGGGAAAGUGAACCAGGCCAGGAAGAAUUACUGCCUGCAAACACAGCUGAGCUUGUGGCUAUCUGGGAGCCUGCCAAUAAGGAACCUCCUCCAGGAAACUGGAGCAAAGUGCCCCCAGGGCCAGAGAACAAUGAAACUGCUUACCUGCCUGCCUCAUUUACAUGAAGGAGGCCCCUACUCUCCAUCUCUCUCUGGCCAGCCUCUCAUAACUUGUCUUUUGCUCUAGACCAAACCUUCAGUGAUAAAUGGUUAAUACACCUUGUAAUCUGUCUGAAGAGACUGAAUGGAUUUCUGUGUCCCCGUGACCCAGGCAAAGACCAACCCUGCUGUCUUUCCUCCCCGUGCACCGUGCACUCUGGCCACAGUAUUCUGCAGACUAGUGAGGAAAUGUGAGGUCCCUUUAUUGUUUUCUAAAUCCUUUGGAAGAUGGCUUGCAGACCUCCCAUAUUACUCAAAUAGGCAAGUCAUUCUAUCUGCCUACCCUACUGCUACCCACUUACAAUACUUGGGCCUCUGCUUAUGG
ensembl:lncRNA